GAUGAAGAACGCAGCGAAAUGCGAUAAGUAAUGUGAAUUGCAGAAUUCAGUGAAUCAUCGAAUCUUUGAACGCACCUUGCGCCCUUUGGCCAUUCCGAAGGGCAUGCCUGUUUGAGUAUCAUGAACACCUCAACUCUCAUGGCUCGCCAUGAUGAGCUUGGACUUUGGGGGUCUUGCUGGCCUGUGGUCGGCUCCUCUCAAAUGGAUCAGCUUGCCAGUGUUUGGUGGCAUCACAGGUGUGAUAACUAUCUGCGCUUGUGGUUUUCCAUCAGAUAACCUUCAGUGAUGGAGGUUCGCUGGAGCUCAUAAACGUCUCCCCUAAGCGGGGACAGCCCUUUGAAUGUUUGAUCUCAAAUCAGGUAGGACUACCCGCUGAACUUAAGCAUAUCAAUAAGCGGAGGA
rnacentral:misc_RNA from 1 species